ACAUAGUGCGAUGUCAAGAUACAGGUAUCGACAUAUUGUCAUUAAAAACAUUUAAAUAUCUAAUUACAGUGUUGAAUUGUUUACCUUUUAGAUAAAAUUUAUUUAGAAAAUUUAUUAGUUUACCCGGAUCUUAUAUAAGUUUCCGGGCUUAGUAAACAUAGGAAGGAUGUGCUAUCCCGUUUCAAAUAAGCUUUCUACAGGUUCAACCAAACUUCAAAACCAAACUUUUGUAUCUAUUGAAAGGUGACUAAUGUGUCUUGUAUUUAUAAAAUCUACAAAGAGACCGGGUGGUGAUUUAAUACUUAAUUACUCUGCACAGCUAAACGAGUCCACUUUGCCAAAUCAGUGCAUUCAGAGAGCCUGAUGUAUAUUUAUACAAAAUGCACUAUCAGUUGUGUUCGCCUAUGUACCUGGUUAACUUUCACACAGGUUUUGUAUUUUUAAAAGUUCCCAUCAACCGAAGAUGUUUUCGUUUUCAAAAACCAAGCAUACUACAUUAUGUAAGGCAUUGAAUGACAAUAACUCUUAACACGGUUUAUCUCUGUCUUUCUAAAAUUAUUUGCAUCAUUCACGGAUUGAAAAUUGAAUAACUACCAUGCAUUGCCCCGAUCAUGCUAGGUUUUUCAAAUACAAUGUUUACGCCAAAUCAGUUUUUUCGUACAUUUUUUCCUUGUCAGAUCGCAUGUAUAUUAGAUAAAAAUGAAAGAAUAUAAAUAUUAUAAAAACAAUCCCUUAAAAGAAUUCAGCAAAAACAAAAGCUAUAUUCAAUCUUUGCCAAGCCAUUUUCAUUGUUUCUUUGUUUUUUGUUCUUG
rnacentral:lncRNA from 1 species